GCAUUUUAUAGUUCUUAUGUUAUUUAAUUUAAACUUUUUAGCGUUUAGUUGAUCAAUGUAUUAAUCCUGCAGUGUAUUUUACACCAAUACCACACCGGGGAUCAUUAGCGUCAUCAUGCGCAUGCCCAGAACCACUAGGUAGCAAAAUCAGGAAGCAGAAAUUGGCAGAACGCGUGUUCGUCAAAAAGCUCUAGAAUAUUUAGUUGCCGGUAGAAUUGUUCGGGAUUUAGUUGUUGAGCGAACCUUGUAUUGCAACGGAGAUUUGUUAGUGAACGUGUUAUCUCUGCUCUAUAAGGUGUCCGGCCGCCAUCCCCUAUUCACGUGCUUUUGUGUAUUGGAGAACCUGCUCAGCAAGCUGCAGUCUGCAACUUCUGCGGGAGGUUUAAUUCAAAUCCAGUACUGUUGCAUUUCAGCAAAAGCACAAGGGUGAAAGUCUUUGGUCCCCUUCCACUCCUGAGCAACAACAGCAGUGGCAUCUUCCCCUUCUUUCCCCUAAGGCUGUAGCUGCUCCAAACAAAGAUUGAGGCCACAGAGCGCAACACCCUCCUCACACACUCCCCAGGAUUGGACCCCCCAACUAGGCUCAGAUGGGAAAUCUAAGGAAAUCAAACAACCAUGGUUAAGGGACCGAACUGAAGACGCUGGGAUCCACCAUUUAAGAGACAUCCGGAAUCAACAGGACAUCUUCACAACCCUGACUCGGCAGCGACAGUUGAGCCAGCCUCUCUGCAGCUUAAGGACAACUUCAGCUUGAUCGAAAACUGGGGGGCAAUUCGUAUAAUAAUAGGAUAAUCUGGUGUUUUAAGGUUUAUUAGUCGGCGGUUUAAUUAAUGUAUCAAAGCAACACAGCACUCGUGAUCGUGGGGUGGCUAUCUGGGCCACUCGACAUCAGAACCUCGAGUUUGCAGCCUCAACAAAACACCCGUGAUUAUAUCAUUGCCCAACCCCACUCUCACUCACACAAUUUCAAAUUGCAUUGAUGACCUUAUUUCAGCCUUGGUUACCGAAUACUAAGAUUAAACUCGGGUUGAUUGUCAGUUCAGUCUUAUCCUGUGGGUCAGGCACUGCUGUUAUUUUCUUGUAACUUAAAAUUGCACUAGACAGCAUUAAUAUUAGUUUGGAUUGGAUUUUGAUUAGCAGUCACUGCUUUAGCUAUACUCUCCACCUCAGCCUCUCCACGGCCUUUAUGCUCUGUCCUGGUUGACCAAUGUAAACCUUCAAUGUGGUUUGUUCACUUGAAUCCGUGAAACGCAUGAAUUUUACUUCAAAUGUUUUGUUAAUAGAAAGAAUUGUCGUGAUUUGGUCCCUG
ensembl:lncRNA